rnacentral:lncRNA from 1 species
ACUAUUUUUUGCAGAUAUAAUAUAAUCAUUCUAAUCAAGUAGAGACCAUGGAUGAUGGCGAAGAGAGCAAUGCACCUCCCUCAUCCAAUAUUCAAGUGGGUAUACAAGGUAUGCCUGGAACUUCAGUUGUGUGGGAACAUUUUGAUAGGUUGAAUUGGGAGGAUAAAAAGAAUAGGGAAGCUACUUGCAAAUACUGUGGAAAGAU